AACUUUGGUCGGCUCUUGUAGGCCGGCAGAGGAAAAAAAAUAAAAAAAAAAGGCCAAGAAAUAAAAGCAUAUAUCCACACAUACGUGGGGACCUUCUCCCUCUGGCAAGUGUGCGGCCCUCUCGUUCUGGCCGUUUGCGAAUUGCAAUUUUGCCAGCAGCUGCAGUCAACAUGUUGCUGGUGUGCUUUUGUGGCUUUGUCGCCCACCACACACAGGCCCAGAACUCACCACAGUCUUUUCGCCAAUGUAUCUGUAUCUUGCGGAUACAUGUAUCUGUAUCCGUAUCUGUAUGUGUGUGGGCUUUGCACGUGUUUCGCCAAAGGAUUCCGGCUCAGCUGUUGUUGCUGUUGCAUUUUGUGGGCUUGUCGCCUGACUGACAUUUCCUUUUGAUGCGCCUACGUGCCCGAUUUGGCAUAUGCAUUAGCUGGAGCCCAAAAGGGGUUACAUAUCAGACAGGGGCUGGUAAGGAGGGGCCUACACCAUCAACGAUCGAACGUGACAUUUUAGCACCGACUCGAACUCAGAACUUUGGCUCAAAAGACUUGCGCAUGACUGAGUCGCCGGGGGAACAACGACUUGAGUGAGUUUUUCCCGCCCGCCUCUGCGGUGAGUCUGCUUUUUCUCACAGUCGGUGGCAUUGUUUUUGCUCGGCUAAUUGUGGGUGUCGUACUGCUAUAUAUUUCUCUCUGGUGAUGCAAUCUUAGGGGCUCGAAAAUGACUGACAGUCACAAGUGAACAUUACAAGACAUUCAGGCCGAUUUCAAUUUACUUCAAAUGGUUGAAGAAAAUGGAUGAAAUAAUGCCUCACAGCUGGAAAGAAUCCCCUCACAGUUUAAGCCUCAAUGAUAGUUACCGCCACAAAGGACAAAGGGAAGGGCCUUUUAACUGAAAACUGAAAAGAAGAAAUCCCCUGCUAAUUGGGAUGCCUACACCUUGGCCAACAAAGGCAACACUUGUUGUUAGCUGGUUAUCUUUAUGACAUAAUCUAUCCAACCUGCUGACCGCAAAAUGCAGCAAAGAAUUCUAUUCUCUGCCGCUCAUUCGGAUUCCUUUUUCGAUUUUUCCCACUAAUCAACAGAUUUUCGUCUUCCCUUCCUCCAAUUUAUGGCCAAACGAGGGGCCACAAGCACAUGUUCCUUCGCCGAUGGGCCCCAGCCAGACAAAGGGCAAGUGGCAGACAAAGACACGACGAAAAAGACGACAGACAGAUGCAGAUACAAGCUGAAGAUACCAGAUACAAAUACAGAUAGAGACUGAGAACGAGAAUGAGAUACAGAUACGGAUACGGAUACGGUUUGAGGAUCGCAGCAUAUUUAUUACAUCACAGGCAGUCGGGUCAGUCGAGCGAAGGGGUGAAGUAAUCACAGAAGUCGGUGGUUGCCGGUAAAACCGAAAGUGCCAUGAGGUAGCCUAUAGACCUACAUAACGCAGGGUCACCAAUAACAAUGUGGGAUAACAAAAACACACGGAAUAAAAAUUCAACAAAAAAAAAGGAAAAAGGGGGAACCAGAAGGAAUGAAGGGCUCGUCGUCAUUGUUUCGCUUUCAUUGAGAUCCAGCUUGAGAAUCUGAUUCAGAUUCAGAUUCAGAUUCGGAUUCGGAUUCGGACGCUCAGGUCCCCCGAGAAAGGAAGCCAGGGGCCAGGAGCAAUAAAUCAAAGACCCAAGUUGAAUGCACCACAACCGGCACUCCAGCAUGGCAAGGGCGGAUGCAAAAGUCGUCACCAGCUCUUGUGUAGGGAACUCGCGGGUUCAGGUCCCCGUGAACCUUGAGAACCUACCUCAACUCCAGUCUUGGACAAAAAAAAAUAUAUAAAAAUAAAAUAAAAAAGCAAAUCUGAAUGCGUAAGAAAUCUGGGAAGAAGGAAGUGGACCAUGUGACGUUUGUUUUGAGAAACGUCAGCUGAGCAGCAGCAAAAGGGUUUAUAAAUAUAUAUAUAUAUUUUUCCUUUUUGUAUUAAAACCAGACAAGAAAGACAAACGAUAAUACCGCUUUCAGUUUUUGCUCUUUGCCAAUCAGGGUUAGUACCCUUGGCAUCGCUUUCUUACCCUUUUCUUUGUGUUUUCUUUGAGAGCGAUUCCCGAAAAAGGGUUCGAGAUGGAACGAAUUGUUUGUGAGGGGGCUGGGACGACUGAAGACUGGGAAAAAAUGGCAUAAUUUGCUUAAGGAAACUUUUCCAAUUUAUAAAUGACAAACACAAAGUGCCGGCGAAGAGCAGCCAGCCAGCCAGCCAGGGGAUAAUGAGGAAAACUUGGAAAUGAACGGCAGUUUUCCCUUUACUCUUGGAGCGAAGCAAUGCCAAAGAUAUUCUCCCUCUUUUCUAAUUAAAGUGCUGGGGAUUUGCAUAAAAGGAGUUUCGAGUCCGAGUCCGAGCUGGAGCAUCCAGACCAUCCAGAAAAAAAGGAGCAAACGCUUAAGCAUUAAUCAAAAAAUCAGCCGAAAAUUAAAAAAGAAAGACAAAGUAGAGGGUGGUCGGAAGUGGGAGGACUACUGAGUAUCCAGAGCACAAAGCAAAAGGUACGACAGCAAAGGAUGAAUAUCUGCUGAUGAGGCAAUGGUUGGAAAAAAAUUCAGAAAAAAGAAAGGAUUGUCUGGCGGUGUUGAGAGUUUUUAAAUUACAAAACGAAUAGGGGUGAUGGGUAUCUCUGGGGAAGGUUUAAAAACUCCAAAAGAGAACUUUAAAGCCAUUAAGAAUUGAUAGAAUAUUUUAAAAUAAGUUUUAAGGGAUUCAUAUUCUUUUAGUCAGUUCUUAAAAGUACAAAUUUCAUGCUUAUUCUGUAAAAGAAAUUUUUUAAUUUGGGUCACCUCUCUCUCGACAACAUGCAUCGUCCCUUCGGGGAGACUGCAAAAGAUACAGAUACGGAUACGGAUACAGAUACAUGUGCUGCAGGCGCAGCAGCUCCGCCCAGACACGUGUAAGCUUCCCUUUCGAGCCCCCUUGGAUGCCCCCCCCUCGACAACGCCCUCUCGUAUAAAUAUAUAAAACAAAUUUCACUUGCUAUUAUUUUGGCUUAUUUCUGGGGUAUUCUUGUUGCUGCUGUCGCUGUUGUUUAUGUUCGAAAUGAAUGCUUCGUUUUUCUUCUUAUUUUCGGUUGUUUUUAAUGACGAGACUGGGAGUGGGUUUUUCGGUUCCCGUCAGUCCAGUUCUGAAUCAACAGCGAUGAAGCUGCCAAUCUGCACUUCAGUGUGCUCCACAUCGUUCCAACAGACCGACCCAGCCCAGUCCGGAUUUUCCUCCCAAGCCAACCGCACAAGCACUCAGAGAAACAGUUGAGGGCUGGAGGGCUCUGCUACAGAUCGUAUGGCUCGAAUCCUAUACUUGUUUUUAGCUCUGGCUUCAACUGCCAAGGAGAAACGGAGACGAGGCUGAUGGGAAUGUAAAUGCGAAUGCGAAAUUCUCGCAGUGGGUCGGCGGUUGUUUAAGUGGUCCUUGAUAAGCGGCUGCCAGCUUAAAACCGUAAUGCGCUUUACCAACUUCACAUCGUCCCAGCCUCCACAAUAUAUGUAUACAAUAUAUAUAUUUAAAGUAAACUCUCCACAGGCCCCCACUGAUGAAAUAUCAAUAUUGAGGCAGUGGCAGUGGAAAUUUUAAUUCGAUAGUCGUGAGACGGCAGGCUGGGAGAAAUAAAAAAAGAGAUUGCAUUCGCUGUUGUUCAGUUAGUGGAAGCGUUAAAAAUGCCACUGAUUUCGCUGAUUUUCGUUGCUGUCUUUUCAUUAUUUAUUUAAUGGCGGACAGGUGCAGAUUCAGCUCGAUUGGACUGUUUUCCCAUUAAGAAAUGUAGGAGAAGUGAAGGGGCCAGGACAUGAGGUGGUGGCCACAGUGAUAUAUAACUGCUUAAAAAUACGACAUUAAUGUUACUUGAUAUAUUUGUAAACUAUAGUUAAUGGAAAGUAUAGAGUU